UGAGGAAUCUUGCGCAAUGGGGGAAACCCUGACGCAGCAACGCCGCGUGAGUGAAGAAGGCCUUCGGGUCGUAAAGCUCUGUCAGAUGGGAAGAAAUGGAUGUGGGCUAAUAUCGUCCAUCCUUGCCGGUACCCUCAGAGGAAGCACCGGCUAACUCCGUGCCAGCAGCCGCGGUAAUACGGGGGGUGCAAGCGUUGUUCGGAAUCAUUGGGCGUAAAGCGCGCGCAGGCGGCUUGGUAAGUCAGAUGUGAAAUCCCUGGGCUUAACCCAGGAAGUGCAUUUGAUACUG
rnacentral:rRNA from 1 species